rnacentral:rRNA from 1 species
UACGUAGGGUGCGAGCGUUAAUCGGAAUUACUGGGCGUAAAGUGUGCGCAGGCGGCCGCGCAAGUCGAGUGUGAAAGCCCCGAGCUUAACUUGGGAAUUGCGCUCGAAACUACGUGGCUGGAGUGUGGCAGAGGAAGGUGGAAUUCCAGGUGUAGCGGUGAAAUGCGUAGAGAUCUGGAGGAACACCGAUGGCGAAGGCAGCCUUCUGGGCCAACACUGACGCUCAUGCACGAAAGCGUGGGGGAGCAAACAGG